GCUUGGAGAGCUCAGUUGUUAGAGCAUGAGACUCUUAAUCUCCAGGGUCAUGGGUUCGAGCGUCUGGUUGGGCA